rnacentral:rRNA from 1 species
GACAUACUAAGAACUUUCCAGAGAUGGAUUGGUGCCUUCGGGAACUUAGAUACAGGUGCUGCAUGGCUGUCGUCAGCUCGUGUCGUGAGAUGUUGGGUUAAGUCCCGCAACGAGCGCAACCCUUUUCCUUAUUUGCCAGCGGGUCAUGCCGGGAACUUUAAGGAUACUGCCAGUGACAAACUGGAGGAAGGCGGGGACGACGUCAAGUCAUCAUGGCCCUUACGGCCAGGGCUACACACGUGCUACAAUGGUCGGUACAAAGGGUUGCUACCUCGCGAGAGGAUGCUAAUCUCAAAAAGCCGAUCGUAGUCCGGAUCGCAGUCUGCAACUCGACUGCGUGAAGUCGGAAUCGCUAGUAAUCGCGGAUCAGAAUGCCGCGGUGAAUACGUUCCCGGGCCUUGUACACACCGCCCGUCACACCAUGGGAGUUUGUUGCACCAGAAGUAGGUAGUCUAACCGCAAGGAGGACGCUUACCACGGUGUGGCCGAUGACUGGGGUGAAGUCGUAACAAGGUAAGCGUAGAUGA